rnacentral:rRNA from 1 species
CCUCUUCGGAGGGUGUAUAGAGUGGCGCACGGGUGAGUAACACGUAAGUAAUCUACCCUCGAGUGGGGAAUAACAGUCGGAAACGACUGCUAAUACCGCAUAAUGCAGCGGCACCGCAAGGUGACAGUUGUUAAAGAUUUAUUGCUUGAGGAGGAGCUUGCGGCAGAUUAGCUAGUUGGUAAGGUAAUGGCUUACCAAGGCAACGAUCUGUAGCCGGUCUAAGAGGACGGUCGGUCACACUGACACUGAAUAACGGGUCAGACUCCUACGGGAGGCAGCAGUCGGGAAUUUUGGGCAAUGGGCGAAAGCCUGACCCAGCAACGCCGCGUGAAGGAUGAAGUAUUUCGGUAUGUAAACUUCGAAAGAAUAGGAAGAAUAAAUGACGGUACUAUUUAUAAGGUCCGGCUAACUACGUGCCAGCAGCCGCGGUAAUACGUAGGGACCAAGCGUUGUUCGGAUUUACUGGGCGUAAAGGGCGCGUAGGCGGCAUGACAAGUCACUUGUGAAAUCUCCGGGCUUAACUCGGAACGGCCAAGUGAUACUGUCGCGCUAGAGUGCAGA